GCUUGCGUGAGUGGCCGGCUGCAGCAGCGCCGCUUGGCCCCACCAGCUCCUCCCCACGACACCCCUGCAUUCUUUUCUCUAUGCGUAGUAUCUCCCCUCUCCCCUCAGGCACGCCCACUGCGCUAUAGCCUCAGAACCGUCCGUGUGCAGCCCAUUCAAGCACCUCGACGUCCUUUCCCGCUCUCCCUCCUCUCUCCAAAACAACUACCGCAUCGCCCUCCUGCAGUGCCAAGCCAUGGAGGUCGCAGACCACAAUUCCUUCCCAUGGCCGCACCUCCCUGGCAUCCCUCAUCAUGUAGCAACAGCGGCGGCAAGCUCGCUCUGGCCGACCAAGGAUCCCCUGCGAGUUCUUCACAUCCGGCAAGCCUCGCCGUUCGCCGUCGUCACAAGAUCGUGAUUUGUUCCCGCGCUUCGAGGAAUCGAUGAUCAAGCUUCGGCGAUCAAGUGAUCUAGCUCUUCGAGUUCCAUGAGGCUGAAGACCCUGAGCAUCUGUUUGGUGAAGGCAAGUGUCCUCUGACCCAUUAUGUCCCAUUCACUUUUAAUGCACUAUCCCGCAUUACUUAAUUGAAACCUAAGGAUUGACUAGCUUUCCAUUUACCUUUUCCUUGUUUACCUUUUGGGUUAUCAUGGUUAGCAUUAUGCUAUUGCUUUACUUGAAUCAAUGAACAUGAUGUGAAUACUUAUGAUACUAUGAUGUUAUCCCGAUGAUGUUCCUGUGAUACUUUAGGGGGCUCAGGUUGUUUCCUGAGUGCCUCUCUGUAAGGACCUGUUUGGGGAGUGACAACCCGGGAUAACAGUGCAACCAUGAGGGUGAAAUGGGGCGCCCUUAGCUAAUUAAUUAGAGGAACUAGAGGUGUAGUUGCUUCGCCGUCGUGCCGUCAAUGGGGUCCAGGCACAGUGCUUGCUCUGCCGAGACUGGGUGCCGAGGUUCUUUCGUUUUGCUUUUGUUAGUCACCCUCCUGCGGGGAGAGGUACUGUGUUUAUCAAACUGGAGAAACCUAACGGGCGGCUAUGACCUCUAGGGAAUCUUUGUAAAGGCUACGUAGUGAUACCCUGCCAGACCACCUAGGAAGUGAUCAAUGGGGAGUCAUGAUCCCCGGGCAAAACGGGAAUCACGGCUCAUGGGUAAAGUGUGCAACCUCUGCAGAGGGUAAUGAAACUGAUAUAUGAGCCGUGCUCACGGUUAUGAGCGGCCUUGGGAUCCUCUUUGAUUAGAGAUACAGAUGGUUCGAUAUAUAUAAUGGUUCUAUUUAAUAUUUUGGUUCGAUGAUGAUAAUGAUGUUCCUCGAUGAGGAAAAGGUUCACGGGUUGGGUAUAUGAUAAAACUUGGCUUCUACUAAUAAUAAAUACCUGACCAACUAAAAGCAACUGCUUGAGCUUAACCCCACAUAAAGCUAGUCCACUUUAGCCAAAUGGGACAUUUGCUGAGUACGUUGAUGUGUACUCACCCUUGCUUUCACAAAAUACCAGGUUGCCUUUGGUGCAAUCUAUGCUCAGGUAAAGAAGAAGGUGUCGAGGCAGAUCUCUAGGAGUUCCAGGACUUCGACGAGUUCGAGGAUUAGGAUAGCGACCUCCCCCAGUCAGCUGCCUGUGGUGGGUUUAUUUACGUUGGCUACGUUUCUAUUCUGUGUACUUUGAUUAUAUUAUGUAAAUGACUCUAGUCUUUUAUAUUAUUACUUACUCUUUAUUGUAUUCGAAGCAUUGUGCUAUGAUGAGUCAUUUAUGUAAUCGCUGUGUACGUGAAUUUCUGAUCCUGGCACGUACAUAGUUCGCAUUCGGUUUGCCUUCUGAAACCGGGUGUGACAUAAGUGGUAUCAAAGUCGUGCUGACUGUAGGACCGCUGACCUAGAGUAGCAUUGGCCGUUUUAAGGACUUAUUGAUUAUUACUUCAUCUCAUCCUUGAUUUUGCUUCAAAAUAUUAGUCACCUCGACUAAUUCUAUGUUGUGCUCCUAUAUGCCCCCUUGCUAAAAAGUAUUUUAUUCUAGUAUGAUCUAUACUUCUCUCAAUCUAUUAGAUCUGAUCUCACCUUGUGCUUGCGACAUCUUUGUAGAUGCCCCCUGACCAUAGCCUUAGUCUUUUGGGACUCUUUCCUCAUCCAUUAUUAAAUUGCUACUAUUUGACCAUCUCUAUUCCAUUUUGUUAUUGACAUGCUCGUAUCCUUGCAUUUUUAAUACCCUUAUCCCUUAAUCUAAAGCACUUACCCUUGUACCUCUACUGCCUAUUUAAACAUUUCAGUUUAUAUGUCCAUGACCUUCUUGUCUUCUGAGAUCCCUUCCUAUUCCACUGUUAAGUCGUCAUCCUUUGCAUUUUUCUUUUCCCUUGUCUGGGUAUACCCGUACCCUUGUAAUCUUGCAUACUAUUAUUUUUAUAUAUGCUUACCUUCAUAUCCCAAUGAUUGUUUUAGACAUUUCGGUUAACAUGCUUUUGACCACCCUUAUUUCUUGAUGAUCCAUGAGCGGCCAAUCUAUUUCACACAUCCUUGAUGAUCUCAUCGUUUCCUUAUAACUUCCCUCGGUGAUGAAUUCUUAGUUCAACCAUUCUAUUGAAACGUCACCUAUCUUACCUUGAUUGUUUUCUCCACUUCGCCAUUUCGUGAGUCUUGCCUUAACUCUAUCCUUUGUUAUGCCUUUCGUUAUUAUCCCAUUCGCCUUUGACACCUCUAUAUCUUACCUUGGUGAUUACACUAUGUCCGUUCUCUAAAAUCUCCAAUCUCCUAUUUCAAAUUGAGAGUUGUGUUUUACUUAUCUUACCCUUAGCUAUAUCCUCUUCUUUACUGCGUGUAAGCUUGGGCUCAACUCCAUUAUUUGUUGUACUCAUUCCACUGACCUUCAAUGCCUUCAUCUUUUCUCUCAUAUCCUUGUCUGUUAUCGCCGUUGACCCUUGCGAUAUUGAUGUCUUCUACCUAAAUGCAUAAUUUGAACUUACCCUUUAAAAGCCUCUCCCUUCUUUCCACCCAGCUUGAGAGUUGCGAGUUACCUAUCUAUCCCUUGAUUUCUUUUCACUUCUUGUCGCCUUACAAGUUUUGUGUUAAUUCCAUCCCUUACUGUGUUGUUAUUGGCUAUCACCCUCACCUUGUCAUCCAUUGAUCUUGCUUUGAUACUCAUCUUUAUUCCUACUCUUUAAAAAAUCCCCUCUUUUCCACCUCAAUUUGGGAGUGGCAAUUUACCUAUCUGGCCCUUGAAUGCAUCCUUUCCUCUAACACUUGCAGGUCCUGUCUUAACUCCAUUCUCUGUGGCACUUAUAUUCUUUGUCUUAUGCCUGUUUACCUCCUCUCCUACAUCAUUGUCCGUUAUUACUUUCAAAACCCUCGUGAUAUAUAUGCCCUUGUCUUCCUGCUUAAUUUGAACCUACCCUUUAAAGCCUCCUCUUCUCCAUCCCGGUUUGAGGAAUAAUGCCUCACCUACUUCACCAUUGAUAGCUUCCCCUUCUUUGAUGCCUCACAAGUUUUGUCUAAAAUACAUCCUUGGUUGUGUUUGUCUGUUAUCACCUUAACCCUUGUCAUCCCUUGAUCUUUACCAUGAUGCUUAUCUUGCACCUGCAUUUUAAAGCCUCCUCUCCCAUUUCAUUUCAAGAGUGAUGUCUUGCCUAUCCCGCUCUUGUUUAUUCCCCUUUUCCUCUGUCGUGUUGCAAGUCUUGUCCUAACUCUAUCUUUUGGUGUGUUUUUGCCUUUCACCUCCCUUACCUUCAUAAUCUCUAGAUCUUUCCAUGAUGUUAUCUUAUGCCUACCUUUUGAAAUAUCAUCUUUUCCAUCUCGACUUGAGAAUGGUGUUUUACCUAUCCUGACCUUGGUUGCAUUCUCUCCCUUGUCGGUUACAAUCAUUGCUUUAGAUCCAUCCUUUAUUAUGCUCAUGCCCUACCCUCCAUGUCUUAUUAUUCCCCUUGCCUUUUGUUGGCCUUAGAGUAGUUUCCUUUUUUUUAAAGAAAGACCACCAUUUAAUUAAAAGGAACGUAUAACAACGAGAUGUUUGUUGCUGUGUGCUCAUGAUGUUUGUCCUUCUGCUAUGACUGAUUUGCUUCUUUGGAAUGAGUGUUGAUGUGUUGUGGCCCUUGGUCCGCAAUGAAAUUUGUUUACUAGGUGAGUGCCAUAGAGUUAAAUAGUUGGGUUCCCCCCUGCUCUCUCUAAUCCGUCUAUACUUACCUUUUCUCGCUAUUCUUUCCUCUUGCACCUAUCCUUUUGGCAACCUCCAACUCCUCCGAAUCAGUCAAGAUCAGAGUCGGCAACAUCUUCAUCAGGUGUGUAUCAAUGCUCUUGUUAAGGGGGUUAGCCGCUAACCCCAAUGAAGACAACGCAAUCUACAUCAACCAACAAGAUCAGAGUGGCGCAGCGAAAGCGUGUGUGGGUCCUAACCCACAGGUCCAGGAGAUCCUCAAGAAUUGCAUCAAUCGGUCUCAAGCAUCUGAUGGUCAAAGCAACCAAUCCACAAGUCAAGCCGGCGGAGUCAAAGUUGAGUUAAAAAAGCUAUGAAAGACUAAUGAACAAAUCUCCUUUUCUUGCUAGCCUCUUCUUUAAUCUCGAGGACGAGAUUCUGUUAAGGGGGUUAGAUCUGUAACAACCUGAAUUUAGGGGUAUAAAUUUUUUUCUCUAAUAUCCACCAAAUUCACGUGUUACUUUCUUGUUCCUCUUUCUUUUCGCUCCUCUAUUUAUUUAUUUCCAAGUAAUAGGAAAUUUUACUCCAUUUAUAGCUAUUAAUAAAACCCUAAGGGGAUAAUGGUUGAUGCAUCAUGCGAAAAUACAUUUGUUUUUGUGUGUUGUUUUGCUUUGGCGUGUAUGCAUCUAAUAUGUAACACAUUAUUAUAAAUAAAUUUGAUAUCAGGAAAAAAAAUAGAAAAAAAAGAAAAGGAAGAAAAAUAAUAAAAUGGAAAGCCUCCCUCAGCUCCUAGCCGGCCUUUCUGCGGCCCAGCUCCGCGCCUCCCUCCCGCGGCCCACCCGCAGCGCAGCUGCGCGCGCGGCCCAGCAGCUGCGCCCUCCCCCGCGUGCCCUAGCCCUCGCGCACACCGCGGCCUUGCCCGCGACGCCGCCUGCGCGGCUCGCCCAACCGCCUGCUCGCUCCCUGCACGCCCAUCCCUGCCCAGCCGCGCGCAGCUCAGCACGCCGCGCCCGUGCGCGCUUGCGUGAGUGGCCGGCUGCAGCAGCGCCGCUUGGCCCCACCAGCUCCUCCCCACGACACCCCUGCAUUCUUUUCUCUAUGCGUAGUAUCUCUAUCUCCCCUCUCCCCUCAGGCACGCCCACUGCGCUAUAGCCUCAGAACCGUCCGUGUGCAGCCCAUUUAAGCACCUCGACGUCCUUUCCCGCUCUCCCUCCUCUCUCCAAAACAACUAUCUCAUCGCCCUCCUGCAGUGCCAAGCCAUGGAGGUCGCAGACCACAAUUCCUUCCCAUGGCCGCACCUCCCUAGCAUCCCUCAUCAUGUAGCAACAGCGGCGGCAAGCUCGCUCUGGCCGGCCAAGGAUCCCCUGCGAGUUCUUCACGUCCGGCAAGCCUCGCCGUUCGCCGUCGUCACAAGAUCGUGAUUUGUUCCCGCGCUUCGAGGAAUCGAUGAUCAAGCUUCGGCGAUCAAGUGAUCUAGCUCUUCGAGUUCCAUGAGGCUGAAGACCCUGAGCAUCUGUUUGGUAGAGGCAAGUGUCCUCUGACCCAUUAUGUCCCAUUCACUUUUAAUGCACUAUCUCGCAUUACUUAAUUGAAACCUAAGGAUUGACUAGCUUUCCAUUUACCUUAUCCUUGUUUACCUUUUGGGUUAUCAUGGUUAGCAUUAUGCUAUUGCUUUACUUGAAUCAAUGAACAUGAUGUGAAUACUUAUGAU